CAAAUACUCCCUUUGUCCUGAAAUACUUGUCAUCAAAAUGGAUAAAAGGAAAUGUAUCUAGACGUAUUUUAGUUUUAGAUACAUCUCUUUUUAUCCAUUUUGAUGACAAGUAUUUUCAGACGGAGGGAGUAGAAA
rfam:Triticum aestivum genome assembly, contig: Triticum_aestivum_CS42_TGACv1_scaffold_375088_5AL